rnacentral:rRNA from 1 species
GACGAACCGAGCGAACGUUGUUCGGAAUCACUGGGCUUAAAGGGCGCGUAGGCGGGUGCUCAAGUCCGGGGGGAAAUCCUCCAGCUCAACUGGAGAACUGCCUCGGAUACUGGGUGUCUCGAGGGUGGUAGGGGUAUGCGGAACUAUCGGUGGAGCGGUGAAAUGCGUUGAUAUCGAUAGGAACUCCGGUGGCGAAGGCGGCAUACUGGACCACGUCUGACGCUGAGGCGCGAAAGCCAGGGGAGCAAACGGG